GACGAACGCUGGCGGCGUGCUUAACACAUGCAAGUCGAACGGAAAGGCCCCUUUGGGGGUACUCGAGUGGCGAACGGGUGAGUAACACGUGAGUAACCUGCCCUUGACUUCGGGAUAACUUCAGGAAACUGGGGCUAAUACCGGAUAGGAAUCCUUGCUGCAUGGUGGGGGUUGGAAAGCUUCGGCGGUUUUGGAUGGACUCGCGGCUUAUCAGCUUGUUGGUGGGGUAGUGGCUUACCAAGGCUUUGACGGGUAGCCGGCCUGAGAGGGCGACCGGCCACAUUGGGACUGAGGUACGGCCCAGACUCCUACGGGAGGCAGCAGUGGGGAAUAUUGCACAAUGGGCGGAAGCCUGAUGCAGCAACGCCGCGGGCGGGAUGACGGCCUUCGGGUUGUAAACCGCUUUCAGCAGGGGCGAAGCUUGUGGUGACGGUACCUGCAGAAGAAGCACCGGCUAACUACGUG
rnacentral:rRNA from 1 species